rnacentral:rRNA from 1 species
AGAGUUUGAUCCUGGCUCAGGAUGAACGCUGGCGGCGCAUUUAAGACAUGCAAGUCGAACGAAAAUUUACGCUUAAAGAGUUGAUUAGUUUACUAAAAGACAAUUUAUUGUAAAUUUUAGUGGCGGACUGGUGAGUAAUACAUAGGUAAUCUGCCUUUUAGAGGGGAAUAACUAGGAGAAAUCCUAGCUAAUACCGCGUAAGACCACACUUAGGCAUCUAAGAGAGGUCAAAGGAGUAAUCCGCUAAAAGAUGAGCCUGUGGCUGAUUAGUUAGUUGGUGGGGUAAGAGCCUACCAAGACGAUGAUCAGUAGCCGAGCUGAGAGGCUGGCCGGCCACAUUGGGACUGAGAUACGGCCCAGACUCCUACGGGAGGCAGCAGUUGGGAAUAUUGGACAAUGGAGGAAACUCUGAUCCAGUGACGCCGCGUGAAGGAAGAAGGUCUUCGGAUUGUAAACUUAUUUUAUCAGGGAAGAAGAAGGUGACAGUACCUGAAGAAAAAGGACCGGCAAACUACGUGCCAGCAGCCGCGGUAAUACGUAGGGUCCAAGCGUUAUCCGGAUUUACUGGGUGUAAAGGGCGAGUAGACGGCGCUGUAAGUCAGCUGUGAAAACUUAGGGCUCAACCUUAAGCCUGCAGCUGAAACUGUAGUGCUAGAGUGCAGGAGAGGUAAGCGGAAUUCCUAGUGUAGCGGUGAAAUGCGUAGAUAUUAGGAGGAACACCAGUGGCGAAGGCGGUUUACUGGACUGUAACUGACGUUGAGGCGCGAAAGUGUGGGGAGCAAACAGGAUUAGAUACCCUGGUAGUCCACACCGUAAACGAUGGAUACUAGGUGUAGGCGAGAUAUCGUCUGUGCCGGCGCAAACGCAAUAAGUAUCCCACCUGGGGAGUACGGCCGCAAGGUUGAAACUCAAAGGAAUUGACG